UAAAUAAAUAAAAACGCCUAAUACUUAUUGAAAGUAUAAGUAUAGAAAAACUUUAAUUAUGUUAAUUAUGAGAUUUUUAAACUGUAUUACUGGAGAAAAGAGACCAAAUCUCCUCGUAAUACUUUUCUUUAUCAAUUUAUUUAAUGAUAAAGAUGAACAUAAGCAUUUGUGCAAUUCAGUGUUUAAAGUUUGCCAAGGUAUAUGUAUACAUUUUUCCCAGAACUGAUGCUAUGAGAAGCCCAAGCCAUGGAGAGGCCCUAGGCAGGUGCUCUGGUCAACAGCCCAAGCUAAAUGCCCAGCCAACACCAGCAUCUGCGGCCAGCCGUUGAGAACACGAGACUUUUGAAAAAACACAGACGAUGAAACUAUGUGCUCUUUCAGCCAAUACAAUGUGGGAAGUUUUUCUGUUUGUUAAAAUAAUUCAGGUCCUUACAGGGUAGCUUGGUGUAAAUGUGGCCACAGACUCUCAGUUUGGGUCCUCUCAUCUGGUCCUCCACCGUCUAAGGCCAGCACACCAUUCCUGAAGCCCAGCUUCACACCCUGGAUUUUACCCCUCAUCCCUUGAGGACCCGAAGACAAACAGCCUUGUCAACGCACUAGUGCUUUGUCUCACCUCAACUGCAAAGUGGCCAUGGGGUCUUCACCAGCAGCUGGGGAGGAUGCUCCAGAAACUGGCCCUGAUAGCUUUGCCCUGUAACUUGACUGGAUUGCAACCACUAUGGAGUUGGGUCAGACACAACCACUGGGCAGCUGACACGAGAUCUGCACAUUUGUUACUAGAAGAGCCAGAAGGCCACCCACUGUUCCUCCUAGUGAACCACUGGCAGAGCAGGUAUGGCUUAGAGCCCAGUUUCAUGCUUGACUACUGAUAUGGUUUGGCUGUGUUCCACCCA
rnacentral:lncRNA from 1 species